AGUGAACGCUGGCGGUAGGCCUAACACAUGCAAGUCGAACGGCAGCACAGUAAGAGCUUGCUCUUACGGGUGGCGAGUGGCGGACGGGUGAGGAAUACAUCGGAAUCUACUUUUUCGUGGGGGAUAACGUAGGGAAACUUACGCUAAUACCGCAUACGACCUACGGGUGAAAGCAGGGGAUCUUCGGACCUUGCGCGAUUGAAUGAGCCGAUGUCGGAUUAGCUAGUUGGCGGGGUAAAGGCCCACCAAGGCGACGAUCCGUAGCUGGUCUGAGAGGAUGAUCAGCCACACUGGAACGGGGACACGGUCCAGACGCCUACGGGAGGCAGCAGUGGGGAAUGUUGGACAAUGGGCGCAAGCCUGAUCCAGCCAUACCGCGUGGGUUGAGAAGGCCUUCGGUUUGUAAAGCCCUUUUGUUGGGAAAGAAAAGCAGCAGGUUAAUACCCCGCUGUUCUGACGGUACCCAAAGAAUAAGCACCGGCUAACUUCGUG
rnacentral:rRNA from 1 species